AAGUCGUAACAAGGUUUCCGUAGGUGAACCUGCGGAAGGAUCAUUACAAAUGGAAUAAUCCAUAUUCUUGUUGUGCCAUUAUAGUGUAGAUUUAUCUACAUUUUUUUAUUAAUUCAUUUUAAAAUAGUUUUAUAAUUUAAUACAACUGUUGGCAAUGGAUCACUUGGUUCUG
rnacentral:misc_RNA from 1 species